UACGGGGGGGGCAAGCGUUGUUCGGAAUUAUUGGGCGUAAAGGGUGCGUAGGCGGCGCGGUAAGUCGGGUGUGAAAUCUCGGAGCUUAACUCCGAAACUGCAUUCGAUACUGCCGUGCUUGAGGACUGGAGAGGAGACUGGAAUUUACGGUGUAGCGGUGAAAUGCGUAGAUAUCGUAAGGAAGACCAGUGGCGAAGGCGGGUCUCUGGACAGUUCCUGACGCUGAGGCACGAAGGUCAGGGGAGCAAACGGG
rnacentral:rRNA from 1 species